rnacentral:rRNA from 1 species
CCUACGGGUGGCUGCAGUGGGGAAUAUUGGGCAAUGGGCGAAAGCCUGACCCAGCGACGCCGCGUGGGUGAUGAAGGCCUUCGGGUUGUAAAGCCCUGUCAUGCGGAAAGAACAGUCCCGUAACGAAUAAUUGCGGGAUUUGACGGUACCGCAGGAGGAAGCACCGGCUAACUCCGUGCCAGCAGCCGCGGUAAUACGGAGGGUGCAAGCGUUGUUCGGAAUUAUUGGGCGUAAAGGGCGCGUAGGCGGUAAUGAAAGUCAGAUGUGAAAUACUUCGGCUCAACUGAAGAACUGCAUCUGAAACUUCAUAACUAGAGUACGGAAGAGGGAAAUGGAAUUCCCGGUGUAGAGGUGAAAUUCGUAGAUAUCGGGAGGAACACCAGUGGCGAAGGCGAUUUCCUGGUCUGGUACUGACGCUGAGGCGCGAAAGUGUGGGGAGCAAACAGGAUUAGAUACCCCAGUAGUC